UUACUUUAUUAUGAUAUCUGGAAUUAUAGUACUUAAUAUUUAUUAUGGGAAUCAAAGUGUUAUAUCUCAGCUAAUAAUAUUACAAAUUCUUAAAGGAAACUUUGAUUUAGUAUCAAGUAUAUAUGGAGGCUCAUAAAGUGCCAGCAGCCGCGGUCAUACUUUUUCUAUUUAUAAAUAUAAAAUAGAAGCAAAUUAUAGAAUCAACUUUAGAUAUAUAGGUAAAAUUUAUAUUACUAGUAAUAUCCUAUUCUAUUUCACGUCUAUAAAUUUAGAGUUUAAACUAGGAUUAGAUACCCUACUAUUUCUAAACUUCUUAGGAAGCUUCUGAGUAUUAAAACUAUCUGGUCUAAACUCAAAUAUUAUGGCGGCAUUUUCAUAAUUUUCAGAGGAACUUACUAUUUAAUUUGAUAACCACCAAGACUAACCACUUAAUUUAAAAGCUUGUAUGCCGUCGUUCUAUAAUUAUUUUAGAUAAUUAUAUAAUUAUUAUUUCUUAAAUAUAUACAACAGAUCCAGGUGCAGCCCAUAUUUAAGUAUCUAGCGAGUUACAUUUAUAAAUUAUUAAUCUAUUAGAAAUAAAAUCUCAAUUUCUAAUCAAGAUCGGAUUUGAAAGUAAUAUGACUUAGAAAUUUAUUAUAAUUAGUAUAUGAAUAGUAAUUGAAAUGUGUACAAAUCGCCCGUCAUUCUCAUAUUUUAACUUGAGACAAGUCGUAACAUAGUAGAUUCAGGGGAACCUGAAUCUCUUUAGCUAUAUCCUAAAG
rnacentral:ncRNA from 1 species